ensembl:miRNA
UUGUGCUUGAUCUAACCAUGCAGUGCAUCUUCUGUCCAUGGUUGUGCCAAGCACCUUG